rnacentral:rRNA from 1 species
UGGGGAAUUUUGGACAAUGGGGGCAACCCUGAUCCAGCCAUUCCGCGUGAGUGAAGAAGGCCUUCGGGUUGUAAAGCUCUUUUGUCGGGGACGAAACGGUUUUGGCUAAUAUCCAAGACUACUGACGGUACCCGAAGAAUAAGCACCGGCUAACUACGUGCCAGCAGCCGCGGUAAUACGUAGGGUGCGAGCGUUAAUCGGAAUUACUGGGCGUAAAGCGUGCGCAGGCGGUUGUGUAAGCCAGAUGUGAAAUCCCCGGGCUUAACCUGGGAAUGGCAUUUGGGACUGCACGGCUGGAGUAUGGCAGAGGGGACUGGAAUUCCUGGUGUAGCAGUGAAAUGCGUAGAUAUCAGGAGGAAUACCGAUGGCGAAGGCAGGUCCCUGGGCCAAUACUGACGCUCAUGCACGAAAGCGUGGGGAGCAAACAGG